AGCAGGUCAGAGAGGCUGCAGUGUUUCUGCUGUCUUAGCCCUACAAACCCCAGAAGGCCUGGGAGCAGGGAGAGGGGCUGGCUGGAGCAUCCAACCGUGAGGAUCAGAUAGGGGCAGAUCGGAAGAGAGAUAGAGACCUGAACUUCCCUUCUGCUGAAAUCAGACAGUGCACAGGGGGCAGGUGAGAGCAGGGAGCAACUGUGGAUUGUCCCCUUCAGGUCCCGUCAGGAGCUAAAACUGCUGGGCUGUUUCCAUCUGACUUGGUUCCCUGCACUGCCCCAAUGCUCCUGUCUCUGUGCCUUUUGCUUCCCGUAAUGAAUCCCAGCAGCCAGGAGAUCUGCUCAGCUCCCGGUAAGUCCAUCUCUCACCCUUCUAUCUAUAAAAAGAAAAGGAGGACUUGUGGCACCUUAGAGACUAACAAAUUUAUUUGAGCAUAAGCUUUCGUGAGCUACAGCUCACUUCAUCGGAUGCAUUCAGUGGAAAAAAAAAGGUUUGUACUAAUAGAAAGGGUUUCCAGCUGCAGAAGAUUAUUAUUAAUUAUUAUUAUUAUUACCGUGGCCCCCAAAGAGCUGACAAUCUCAUAUCUGACAUUAUCCUCCUGAUACUCAGCUGUGCAGAAAUAAGGUCCUGGUCCAGAGACAUUGCGCACACCCCGCAGCCCUUGUGCAGGCAGAAUUAAUCUACACUGCAAUUAGACGCAUGCGGUUGGCCUGUGCUGUGUAAAGAGCCCUAUAGCUUGAGCCCUGGAAGCCCGAGUGAGCUGGCACUGCCCAGCAGCUGGUUUUUAAUUGCUGUGUAGAGAUAAGACAGACCCUUAGCAGCUGCAAGCUGCUUCCACGGCAAUCAACUUCCUUUAGUAAACUGCUCCCUGGGCUGCCCCCUAAAUGGGCACCACCAAUGACCCCAUUGAUGGCUCUGACCCAUUGGCCUUCCCAGGUGUUGUCCCUGCCCCAACCCUCUACAUGAGCCAAAGAUCGGCCCAGGAGGGGGACUCUGUGCUGCUCCAGUGCUCUGUGAUCUCCCAGGCCCCAGCCAACCGCGUAAUCUUCUGUAAGGAUGGGGAGGAGGUUUUCUCCCAGACAGGGUUGGAGAAGAAGGUCACCUACAGCUACGCCCAUGCGGUGUCCAUGGGCAGCUCUGGCAAUUACUCCUGCGGGUAUGAGAUCAAGGAGAGCGACAAGCGAGUGAACAGAUCCCAGCUCAGCCCUGCCAAGCACCUCAGCGUUACUGCGCUGAGUCCCAGCAGCCAGGA